UAUGAAUUAUUUACUUCCAGAUCACUAACUCAUGACUCAGUGACUUUGAGUGUGUUACUCUGCCCCAGUAGCAGUAACAUAAUGGUUGAGAGCAUUCUGUUACUGCAACAGGUGCAGAUGGGUGAGGCAGUAGGUAAUCAUUAUGAAUGCAGCCUCUUGAGACAGACAAACACAGGUCUAAACCUCAGCCCUGCCCCUUACUAAUCACAGGAUCUUGGGCAGAUUACUACCCUCCACAUAGGGCUUGAUGAGGAGUGAACAAGAUACUCAAAACGUAAAGCACAGUGACUUGAUCAUAAUAAAAUCUCCAUAAAUGUUGCCUGGUAAUAAUACUUUACAGAUAUUUGUUAACCUUAAUUGUUUCCUUGGGAAUGCAUAAGCUUUGAUACCCUGACUCUGUUAAAAAAAUUUUACAGUUCUUUUAUUCCUUUAGAUUAUGAUAUGGAUGGAUGAUGGAAGGAAGGAUCUAUGAAUUUAAUAUUUGAGUUUCAGUUACUGGACUUUACUUCUUCCAGAAAGUCAGGCCAAAAGAACAAAGUCCUAGAAGGUCUUCUGGUGAGUCACAUUCUGAGCAGGAAAUCUGGCAUCGAGGCAUAAUUAACAUUCAGGUUGCCCCCAGUUUCUAUGGAGAUGAGUCUAGCCCCUCAGGGGAGUAGUGAUGGAUGUGUAAUCUCCAAGAUAAGUAACUGACAGAGAAACAGAAGAUCAAACUUAAAGUCACAGCAAGUAGGUGGCAGAGUGAAGAGCAGAUCCAACAGAUUCUCUGAACUCCCGGGUAAGCAUGCUUUCAGCACCACCACACACCACAAUGGAACAGCCUAUCAACUUCUUGGAAACUAAAUAAUAAAGAGAAUGACCUUU